CAAAAAUUGUGGAACCAAGAUUAACCCAAGUGAUUGAACGGCCAAAGUGUGGAGAAAGAAAGGAUCUGCUCAUGAUCCACAAACAUAAGUUCAUCUGUGAAACAUGGUGGAGGUAGUGUCAUGGCUUGGGUUUGCAUGGCUGCUUCUUAUUGACGAUGUAGCGCAUGAUGGUAGCAGCAGAAUGAAUUCAGAAUUUUACAGGAACAUUUUGCCUGCCAAGUUGCAGAGAAAUGCAUUCAAACGAAUCAGGAGGAACUUCAUCAUGCAACAAGACAAUGAUACAAAAACACACUGCCAACACAGCAAAGAACUUAAUCAGGGGGGAAAAGUGAAAGGUUUUAGACUGGCCAAGUCAAUCUUCAGACCUUAACCCAAUUGAGCAGCAUUUCACCUCCUGAAGACGACAAACAACUGAAAGAAGCUGCAGUAAAAGCCUGGGAAAGCAUCUUAAAAGAAGAACCCAACAAUUUGUUGAUAUCAGUGAGUCACAAGCUUUAUACAGUUAUUUCAAGCAAGGGAUAUGCAACCAAAUGUUUGCUUUCAUUUUCUUCAAGACAUCUGUUCCUUUACUAAAAAUUGGGUGGUCUGAUACAAAAGGUUCUAUGUUUUAACACUUCUAGAUGAACUCCAAAACUCUCGUCUCGUCUCAUAUCCAUCUUUUGAUCUCAAACCCAAAUGUCUUUGGUAUAUAUCACAAACAAAUGAAUUGGUCUUGACGUUCCAAUAGUUUCGGAUGGGACUGUGGACAAUUGUGUGCUUCCAACUUUGUGGCAACACUUUGGAGAAGACCCUGAUAUGGGUGGGAUAGUCAGGUGUCCACAUACUUUUGGCAAUUUUUCUGUAUUUGUUAAGCUACAUACACUCGACAACCGCUUUAUUAGGAACACCUGUACACCUGCAUAUUCAGUUGUCUAGUUUGGGUGAGUCUGUGCUUAUGAUCGCUAAGAAUGGUAAAUGCUCUGCACUUAUAUAGCGCAUUUUAAAAAAUGUAUUGUUUUUAUUUAUUUAUUUUUUAACCUUAUCGGUGCUACAAAGCGCUCUCAUUUACCCAUUCACACACCACUGGUAGCAGAGCUGCCAUGCAAGGCGCUAUCUUGCCAUCGGGAGUAACUUGGGGUUCAGUGUCUUGCCCAAGGCCACUUCGGCAUGUGUCACAGCUGCCUUAAGAACAGAAAGCUGAGGCUGACAGCAGUGGAACCUGAUGUGGUUUUCUGCUGUUGUAGCCCAUUUGGCUUAAGUUUUGAUGUGUUUCUGCUCACCACGGUUGCAAAGAGUGUUUAUUUGAGUUACUGUAGAUUUCAUGUCGGCUCAAAACAGUCUGGUCAUUCUACUCUGAUCUCUCUCAUCAACAAGGUGUUUCAGCCUGCAGACUCUCUGCACAAAGGAUAUUUUUUGUUUUUCGCACUAUUCGGUUAAAACUCUAGAGACCGCUGUGUGUGAAAAUCCCAGGAGAUUAGCAGUAUCUGAAAUACCCAAACCAGCCUGUCUGGCACCAACAACAACCAUGCCACAGUUAAAGUCACAGAGAUCAUCAAAGAUUUAUUUUUUCCCCCAUUCUGAUGUUUGAUGUGAAAAUGAACUGACGCUCUUGACCUUUAUCUGCAUGAUUUUAUGCAUUGUGCUGCUACCACAUGAGUGGCUGAUUAGAUAAGUGCAUAAAUGAGCAGAUGUACAGGUGUUCCUAUUAAAGUGUAUUAUUAAAUGCUAAUGUAGCUGUAAUGCUGUAAUACAUAUUAAGUGUAGAGUUGUUGUUAUUAUUAUUAUUAUUAUUAUUAUUUCUGGAGUACAUUUACUUACUGGAAUCUUCUUUGGAUAUAGUAUAUGCAUUAGUAACUUACAGCCACAGGCAGAUGAGUCAAAUGAGAAUUGCAAUGAAAACAAACCAACACCACCACCACCACCUCUUCUCAUGAGUCACUCUUUAGGGAAGAGGGGCAGACCUGGCAGUCUUACAGGCUAAUGUCCAGGCCAGAAAAAUGUAAACAAAAGCCUUUACUGAGGAAACUAGAUUCACAGAUCCACUGCAUGACGACAUUGUGAAUCACCAUUUUCCUGAAGUAUCCUUGCAAUUAUAUAAUUAUUACAGAUCUAGAAACUAGGGCUCCAACUCAGGAUUGUUUUCAUAAUCGAUUAGUUGGCUGAUUUUUUUGUUUGUUUGUUUGUUUUCCGUUUAAUCAGAUGAGGGGAGAACUUUCAGUCCCAUUUUUUUUUUAAUUUAAAAUAAAAUCCACAAAUUGAGUGUUACAAAUAUAAACUUCAGACUAAUACUUUACACAACUGUUUAUCCAAUUAUAUAAGACUGCAAAGAACCCAAUACACACAGACACACACCAGAAUAUAUAUUAUUCAUUUAGGACUGUAGUUUAAUUCAGUGCUUUUUGUGCAUCCAUAAAAAAAUACAUAAAUAUUAAUAUAUAAAAUUAUAUAAAAAAAUACAUAACUACAUAUAUAAACAGUAAAGUGAUGAAAGUCAUUAUCGGUGACUCUGGGUAUCUGCUAAAGCUAGUGGCGUCACAUUACCUGUGUACGACGUCAUGCACCGUCGACCGGGAAACAACUUCCGGUUAGAAAAAAACCAGCUAGUGUUCCAUUUGAGACGAUAGUACCGUUUUAAACUUCAAACACUAGAUGGUAGAGUACACAGUGCAUAGUGUAAAUGUAUAGUAUGUAAUUUGGGACACAACUUUAGUAUUACUUUGUUUUCGGAACAGAAGUAACGUAAUGAGUAAAUCUCCCCCGUGCCGCACACAGAUCAACUAAUCGAUAAUGAGAUUCGUUGACAACGAUAAUUACCGAUUUUAUCGAUUAGUUGUUGUAGCUCUACUAGAAACACACACACAAAAAACAUUACAGACUAGGCCUUUAAACCAUCUCUGCAAGAAAAGUUUGCCUCUUCUUUAACGAUCUGGUUUUUUCUUUUUUCUUUUUUAACGUUGUAGUGUUUGGAGAAAGAAUGCUAGACUGUGUGGAAUUAGUGCCGUUGGAAAUAAACAAAGUUUCAAAAUAAAAAAUGAUUUUCGAUAUACAUUAGAGCAUUUAGCUUAACAAAAUGAUACAUGAUAAAUAAAUUCAAGAAGUUUAUCUGUGGAAGCAAGUUUGAGUGAUACGUUUAUAAAAAAGAGAGUUCGAUGAAGUCCAGGUUUUCAUGAUUGACGUGAUCGAAACCUCCAAGAAGGACAGAUUUUAUGAUGUUACUAUAACACUGUAUUGAUGUGUAGUGACCUAGGUCUGGGCGAUAUAUUGAAAUAAUAAUAUAUGAUAAAUGAUACACUUUUCUGAGAUAUAGUUGGUAUGGUGAUUGUAUUUUAAAUUUUUUUUACAUUAUUAAUAAUGACAAAUUAAAUGGUACUGAAUGGAUGCUGUUGAUUUGAUGUUAAUUUUUUAAAAUUUUUAAAAUCUUUGUCUUUGUAGACAUUAAAGAAAAGAAUAGCCAAACUCAGUAAAAAAUUAUUAUUAUUUUUAGUUAAUUUAACUACCGUUUUGCAGAGUUUGUUAGCUAAAUUAUAUCACGUGAUCGUAGAUUGUGUAUCGUAGAAACGUCCUCAAGUAUCAUGAUAUGAUAUUUUUGUCAUAUCGCCCAGCCCUAGCAGAAACACAACCUAUGCUGAAAUAUAUCGGCUUGUUUCCCGCAUAUUUGGCAGGUAAAUGGAGAAAUAUGUUUAAUAACACGUUGGUUGUGUUAGUUAUCACGUUUAAAUGCUGUGAGGAAGUUGAGAAGUCUUGCUGUUUUUUACCAACGGUGUGAUUCCGCUGUUUGCCAUGCCUGCUGUUAUAUUAGCGAAGCAAGAGAGCAGGGAAGUGAAGCUGUGCUUUUCUGCUGCUACACGUUUAUGGAAUGAGAAGAAAUCGCACCAGAAGUGUUCAGAUGGCUUCAGUGAGUGUAUAAUGGCUGGUCGGAGGCUGUGUCAGUCAGGUUAUAGAGCAGUAGCACUCUGGCUGAUGACUCAUCAUGUUAACCUUCGCACCUUUUUGAGCGCUGCACCAGUGACGGUUCCACUUUUUAAAUGUCAGCGUGCAGAUGGACCGGCUCCUCCACAUUGUGACAACACUAAUGGGUCUUAAUUGUACAAACAGCUCCACAAACGACAUGAUGUUAUUAGUGUGAUGGGUUGAAUAAGUGCAUGUCACCAUGAUAUCUGUCUAACACGUCUAUGAAAUUCACUCGACUUAGUGAUUGCUGUUACACCCAGACAUUUUGGUGUUUGCUUGAAUUUUUUAUUUAUUUAUUUUUUUGCAUUCAUUUCUACGAUUGCAAAACUGCAAAAUCCUGGAGGGACCGUUUUAGCCGUGCUCCUGUACGACGCACAUCAAUCGAAGCGGCUGCAGUUUCGAAAAAUUGCAAGCUCCUCGUAAACCCCCCGAUAUUUCUUGAUUUUGCGUCUGUUUCUAUAACCCUGGAAGGACUGACA
ensembl:lncRNA